rnacentral:rRNA from 1 species
AUGAGCUGUGGAUAGCGGAGAAAUUCCAAUCGAACUCGGAGAUAGCUGGUUCUCCUCGAAAUAGCUUUAGGGCUAGCGUGAGGUGAUAUGAGUACUGGAGGUAGAGCACUGAAUGGGCUAGGGGGUAUAGCACUUACCGAACCUUAUCAAACUCCGAAUGCCAGAUACUUUUAGCCUUGCAGUCAGACUGCGAAUGAUAAGGUCCGUAGUCAAAAGGGAAACAGCCCAGAUCGUCAGCUAAGGUCCCAAAGUGUAAGUUAAGUGGAAAAGGAUGUGGGAUUUCUAAGACAACUAGGAUGUUGGCUUAGAAGCAGCCACUCAUUAAAAGAGUGCGUAAUAGCUCACUAGUCGAGAGAUCCUGCGCCGAAGAUGUCCGGGGCUAAAACUUACCACCGAAGCUACGGGAUUGCAAUAGCAAUCGGUAGAGGAGCGUCGUAAUCGGGCUGAAGUCGUACCGUAAGGAGCGGUGGACUGAUUACGAGUGAGAAUGUUGGCAUUAGUAGCGAGAUGUAGGUGAGAAUCCUACAGGCCGAAUACCUAAGGUUUCCUCAGGAAGGUUCGUCCUCUGAGGGUUAGUCGGGACCUAAGCCGAGGCCGAAAGGCGUAGGUGAUGGACAAUCGGUUGAUAUUCCGAUACCACUAUAAUCGUUAUUAUCGAUGGCGUGACGGAGAAGGAUAGAGUGUGCUAGCUAUUGGAUGCUAGUCUAAGCGUUUAGGGAGUCAGGAUAGGCAAAUCCGUCCUGAUAAUUCUGAGGCGUAAUGGGGAAGGUUCCAAGGAACCGAAGUACUUGAUUCCAUGCUUCCAAGAAAAGCGUCUAGAAAGAGAAGUAGUGCCCGUACCGUAAACCGACACAGGUAGGUGAGGAGAGAAUCCUAAGGCCGGCGGAAGAAUCACAGUUAAGGAACUAGGCAAAUUGACCCCGUAACUUCGGGAUAAGGGGUGCCUGCGCGAGCAGGUCGCAGAGAAUAGGCCCAAGCAACUGUUUAGCAAAAACACAGGUCUCUGCUAAAGCGAAAGCUGAUGUAUAGGGGCUGACGCCUGCCCGGUGCUGGAAGGUUAAGGGGAACACUUAGCGCAAGCGAAGGUGUGAACUUAAGCCCCAGUAAACGGCGGCCGUAACUAUAACGGUCCUAAGGUAGCGAAAUUCCUUGUCAGGUAAGUUCUGACCCGCACGAAUGGCGUAAUGAUUUGGGCACUGUCUCAACUGUGAAUCCGGCGAAGUUGUAGUGCGAGUGAAGAUGCUCGCUACCCGCGAUUGGACGGAAAGACCCCGUAGAGCUUUACUGUAGCUUAGCAUUGAAUUUCGGUAUUGUCUGUACAGGAUAGGUGGGAGACUAGGAAACCAGAGCGUCAGCUUUGGCGGAGUCACCCUUGGGAUACCACCCUGAUAGUACUGAGGUUCUAACUGGAUGCCAUGAAUCUGGUGACAGGACAUUGUUAGGUGGGCAGUUUGACUGGGGCGGUCGCCUCCGAAAGUGUAACGGAGGCGCCCAAAGGUUCCCUCAGAACGGUCGGAAAUCGUUCGAAGAGUGCAAAGGCAGAAGGGAGCCUGACUGCGACACCCACAAGUGGAGCAGGGACGAAAGUCGGGCUUAGUGAUCCGGUGGUACCUCGUGGGAGGGCCAUCGCUCAACGGAUAAAAGCUACCUCGGGGAUAACAGGCUGAUCUCCCCCAAGAGUCCACAUCGACGGGGAGGUUUGGCACCUCGAUGUCGGCUCGUCGCAUCCUGGGGCUGAAGUAGGUCCCAAGGGUUGGGCUGUUCGCCCAUUAAAGCGGCACGCGAGCUGGGUUCAGAACGUCGUGAGACAGUUCGGUCCCUAUCCGUCGCGGGCGUAGGAAAUUUGAGAGGAGCUGUCCUUAGUACGAGAGGACCGGGAUGGACUGACCUCUGGUGCACCAGUUGUUCCGCCAGGAGCACAGCUGGGUAGCUAAGUCGGGAAGGGAUAAACGCUGAAAGCAUCUAAGCGUGAAGCCCACCUCAAGAUGAGAUUUCCCAUAGCAUAAGCUAGUAAGACCCCUUGAAGAACACAAGGUUGAUAGGUCAGAGGUGUAAGUGUGGUAACAUAUUUAGCUGACUGAUACUAAUAGGUCGAGGGCUUGACCAA